GCUCGAGUGGCGAACGGGUGAGUAACACGUGAGUAACCUGCCCUUGACUUUGGGAUAACUUCAGGAAACUGGGGCUAAUACCGGAUAGGAGCUCCUGCUGCAUGGUGGGGGUUGGAAAGUUUCGGCGGUUGGGGAUGGACUCGCGGCUUAUCAGCUUGUUGGUGGGGUAGUGGCUUACUAAGGCUUUGACGGGUAGCCGGCCUGAGAGGGUGACCGGCCACAUUGGGACUGAGAUACGGCCCAG
rnacentral:rRNA from 1 species